rnacentral:lncRNA from 1 species
CACUAAGGUAACCUACGGCUUGCCCUUCGAGCAGUAAAGCCACGCUAGACUUAUAUAAUCACACAUUCUUGUGAAAGGUUAAACAAGUUAGCAUGCAUAUAAUAAGCUUUAUUCACUACCGACAUGCUACGUAGUUGAUAAGCUUCACCUCUGCCAAGUGCGGAACGACCUACACCAAGUCCUAAAGUGUUGUGAUACUUACUACGUAACCUAUGGAAUUAGAGAAAGCCAAGGUUAAUAGCCUAGUGGUCACGCAAACUUGUUUGCUUUUGUAAGUAAGGUAUCCGGCUGUCGACCCUAUGGCUAACUACUUUGCAAAGUUUUGCACUAACAGCUACGCCGGCCUGUCUGCUUAUAGAAAAGUAGCACGUCUACCACUAGUCUAUAAAGUCUAAAGGUUAGGGCAUGAACGAAAGAAGCAAAGAUGGAGAAAAAUGAAGGAAGCAAGUUUAUUAAAUUUUCUAGCAAAAUUGAUAAACAACUAGCAAAGACCGAAGGAGUUCAAGCAAAGCAAAAAGCAACGAGGGAAACAAAGAAAAUCCUAAAGACUACCUAGAAGACUACUUUUCAGCAGCUUGGACACUCCACGACUACUUCGUCGUCGCCACACCUUCAGCAGCUGUGACAUUUUCAGCAG